rnacentral:lncRNA from 1 species
CUAGAAUAUAUAUAGAAUGAAAGUCUGAAUAUAUAUAGAAUGAAAGUCUGAAUAUAAGGAAUGAAAAGUCUGAAUAUAUAUAUAAUGAAAGUCUGAAUAUAUAGAAUGAAAGUCUGAAUAUAUAUGGAAUGAAAGUCUGAAUAUAUAUGGAAUGAAAGUCUGAAUAUAUAUGGAAUGAAAGUCUGAAUAUAUAUGGAAUGAAAGUCUGAAUAUAUAUGGAAUGAAAGUCUGAAUAUAUAUAUAGAAUGAAAGUCUGAAUAUAUAUGGAAUGAAAGUCUGAAUAUAUAUGGAAUGAAAGUCUGAAUAUACAUGGAAUGAAAGUCUGAAUAUAUAUAGAAUGAAAGUCUGAAUAUAUAUAGAAUGAAAGUCUGAAUAUAUAUAGAAUGAAAGUCUGAAAAUACAUAGAAUGAAAGUCUGAAUAUAUAUGAAAGUCUAAAUGUAUGUGAAAGUGUGAAUAUGUGAAAAGAAAGUGUACCAUUGACAAUUCUCACUGAAUAACGUGUAGCUUGUUUUAGCCUUUUGAAUUGUGAUUCAUUUAAAAAUGUCAUUCUCUGAAAUUUUCCAAUACUUUGGUGAGCUACAAGACUUUUUUGCAACAGUUGGUCAUACUCCAAACAACAUAAACAAUUUGGAGUCUACAUCACGUCAUCUCGAGGAUCAUAUUUCCAUUCUUGCAACAUUCUUAGCGCUUAUGGGCAGUCAUGUUCAACAAAAUGUUGCUUUGCAACAGUUGGUCAUACUCCAAACAACAUAAACAAUUUGGAGUCUACAUCACGUCAUCUCGAGGAUCAUAUUUCCAUUCUUGCAACAUUCUUAGCGCUUAUGGGCAGUCAUGUUCAACAAAAUGUUGCUGAAAGAACAUUAUGCAUCAUUCUCGAAGGAAUUUAUGAAUCUCUUAGGGAAAUGUUGGCUGAAAUAGUGCUCCAGGUAGAAGCUGAUACACAAGUGCAUGGUAGAGGUGCACAUUCUGCAUCACAGAGAGGAAGCCUGAGGUACAACAUAUCAGCUGCUCUGUUGAUUCACAUGCGGGACUUAGGAUUUAGCUGGAUGGCCAUAUCACGAAUGUUGUCUGUAAACAUUCGAACACUGUACAACCACAGGAGACAGCUUGGUUUAGUGGACUAUGGGAGCUUCACAAACAUUUCAAAUGAUGAUCUAGAUCGUCAUAUUACUGAGGUUCUUCAACAAACCCCUGGAUCGGGAGAGACCUACAUCACUGGUAGUUUGAGAGGAAGAGGGAUCAGAGUUCCGCGAUGGCGAGUGCGAGAGCGUUUAAGAAUCAUAGAUCCAGUGGGAAGAGCCGUUAAGAGGACGAAGGGCUAUUCAACGGAGGGUCUACAAUGUCUCUGUAGAAUGAAAGUCUGA